AGAGUGAACGCUGGCGGCAGGCCUAAUACAUGCAAGUCGAACGGCAGCACGGCAGAGCUUGCUCUGUGGGUGGCGAGUGGCGGACGGGUGAGGAAUACAUGGGAAUCUGCCCAGUCGUGGGGGAUAACGUAGGGAAACUUACGCUAAUACCGCAUGCGCCCUUCGGGGGAAAGCCGGGGACCUUCGGGCCUGGCGCGAUUGGAUGAGCCCAUGUCGGAUUAGCUAGUUGGCGGGGUAACGCCCACCAAGGCGACGAUCCGUAGCUGGUCUGAGAGGAUGAUCAGCCACACUGGAACUGAGACACGGUCCAGACUCCGUACGGGAGCAG
rnacentral:rRNA from 1 species